CAGACUCGAGCAUCAAAGCAGAAGGAAGGGCGUUUAGCUCCGAAGAGAGGCCAAACACUCCACGGUCCAAGCAUUCUGCCACCGAGCACAGAAGGCGAACCAAAAUUAAUGACAGGCAAGUCAACGCAUUAUCUGAGCAUUUUCGAUAUUCAAUACAUUGUUAACGUAUGCUUUAAAAAAUAAACGCAUAUUUGUGGAGACAGCGAUAUAAAGUUACAAGUUAUUAUAUUAUCCGUUGUGUCUAUAAAUUUUCCUGCUCCAAAUGAUUUUGAGUUGGCUAAAUGUUGCAAGAACUUGUGUUGUUAAACGAGGAAACAUAAUCUAGAUUGUGUUAAUUGAGAUGCUACUUCAAUACUGUGCCUUUUUGUGAUGCUAUAACCAAUAAGUAGAGUUAAUUUAACAGUCUCUGAUAGAAUACAAAACUGUUGUGCAGAUUUCAGAUACUAAGGGAGCUCAUACCUCACAGUGAUCAAAAGAGAGAUAAAGCAUCAUUCCUUCUGGAGGUAUCAGUGUAUCGUACAAUUAUGUCUCUUCUUUCUAUGAUGGUGUCCUUUUGAGAUUUUGUUGGUGAAAUUUCCAUCAGGUUAUUGAAUACAUCCGCUUCCUGCAAGAGAAGGCACAGAAUUACGAGUCAUCUUACCCGGGAUGGAAUCAGGAUGAGAUCAAGUUAAUGCCUUGGGUAGAAUCACUAAGCUCAAUCUACAUGUCAUGUACAAGUCUGCCUUUCUAAUUAGCUCUCAUACCUUGUGUCUUCUUCCUCACCAUGUUGGUUUUCUUCUCUUCCGAGUGUUUACAGCAGAAGAAGAACCCAGCCUCAAAAAAUGCUUCUCAAAUCAUAAGAAAUGAUUCUGCUGCUCCUGCACAAAUAUUGUCUGAAAAGCUCGAGA
rnacentral:lncRNA from 1 species